CCCCAACAGAAGACUCACUCUGGAUCAAAGGCUUUAUUUCAUUUUAUUCACAGUUAUUGGGUACCAGGUUUGGAAUAUAUUAAGAAAGAAAGAACCGCCUUAUUGGACUCCUGAGCUUCCAGGUACCAGGUUUGGAAUAUAUUAAGAAAGAAAGAACCGUCUUAUUGAACUCCUGAACUUCCAGGUA